rnacentral:rRNA from 1 species
UACGGGGGGGGCAAGCGUUGUUCGGAAUUACUGGGCGUAAAGGGUGCGUAGGCGGCUUUCUAAGUUGGAUGUGAAAACUCUGGGCUCAACCCAGAGACUGCAUCCGAAACUGGAGAGCUUGGGUUCUGGAGGGGAAAGCGGAAUUCCUGGUGUAGCGGUGAAAUGCGUAGAUAUCAGGAGGAACACCGGUGGCGAAGGCGGCUUUCUGGACAGAUACCGACGCUGAGGCACGAAAGCUAGGGGAGCAAACAGG